UCAGGACGAACGCUGGCGGCGUGCCUAAUACAUGCAAGUCGAGCGGACAGAUGGGAGCUUGCUCCCUGAUGUUAGCGGCGGACGGGUGAGUAACACGUGGGUAACCUGCCUGUAAGACUGGGAUAACUCCGGGAAACCGGGGCUAAUACCGGAUGGUUGUUUGAACCGCAUGGUUCAAACAUAAAAGGUGGCUUCGGCUACCACUUACAGAUGGACCCGCGGCGCAUUAGCUAGUUGGUGAGGUAACGGCUCACCAAGGCGACGAUGCGUAGCCGACCUGAGAGGGUGAUCGGCCACACUGGGACUGAGACACGGCCCAGACUCCUACGGGAGGCAGCAGUAGGGAAUCUUCCGCAAUGGACGAAAGUCUGACGGAGCAACGCCGCGUGAGUGAUGAAGGUUUUCGGAUCGUAAAGCUCUGUUGUUAGGGAAGAACAAGUACCGUUCGAAUAGGGCGGUACCUUGACGGUACCUAACCAGAAAGCCACGGCUAACUACGUGCCAGCAGCCGCGGUAAUACGUAGGUGGCAAGCGUUGUCCGGAAUUAUUGGGCGUAAAGGGCUCGCAGGCGGUUUCUUAAGUCUGAUGUGAAAGCCCCCGGCUCAACCGGGGAGGGUCAUUGGAAACUGGGGAACUUGAGUGCAGAAGAGGAGAGUGGAAUUCCACGUGUAGCGGUGAAAUGCGUAGAGAUGUGGAGGAACACCAGUGGCGAAGGCGACUCUCUGGUCUGUAACUGACGCUGAGGAGCGAAAGCGUGGGGAGCGAACAGGAUUAGAUACCCUGGUAGUCCACGCCGUAAACGAUGAGUGCUAAGUGUUAGGGGGUUUCCGCCCCUUAGUGCUGCAGCUAACGCAUUAAGCACUCCGCCUGGGGAGUACGGUCGCAAGACUGAAACUCAAAGGAAUUGACGGGGGCCCGCACAAGCGGUGGAGCAUGUGGUUUAAUUCGAAGCAACGCGAAGAACCUUACCAGGUCUUGACAUCCUCUGACAAUCCUAGAGAUAGGACGUCCCCUUCGGGGGCAGAGUGACAGGUGGUGCAUGGUUGUCGUCAGCUCGUGUCGUGAGAUGUUGGGUUAAGUCCCGCAACGAGCGCAACCCUUGAUCUUAGUUGCCAGCAUUCAGUUGGGCACUCUAAGGUGACUGCCGGUGACAAACCGGAGGAAGGUGGGGAUGACGUCAAAUCAUCAUGCCCCUUAUGACCUGGGCUACACACGUGCUACAAUGGACAGAACAAAGGGCAGCGAAACCGCGAGGUUAAGCCAAUCCCACAAAUCUGUUCUCAGUUCGGAUCGCAGUCUGCAACUCGACUGCGUGAAGCUGGAAUCGCUAGUAAUCGCGGAUCAGCAUG
rnacentral:rRNA from 1 species